rnacentral:rRNA from 1 species
UACGUAGGUGACAAGCGUUGUCCGGAUUUACUGGGCGUAAAGAGCGCGCAGGCGGUCGAUCAAGUCGAGUGUGAAAGCCCCCGGCUCAACUGGGGAGGGUCAUUCGAUACUGAUCGACUCGAAGGCAGGAGAGGGUAGUGGAAUUCCCGGUGUAGCGGUGAAAUGCGUAGAUAUCGGAAGGAACAUCAGUGGCGAAAGCGACUUCCUGGACCAAUACUGACGCUCAUGUGCGAAAGCGUGGGGAGCAAACAGG